CCCCUAGUAACGGCGAGUGAAGCGGGAAGAGCUCAAAUUUGAAAUCUGGCGGUCUAAGGCCGUCCGAGUUGUAAUCUAGAGAGGUGUUUUCCGUGCCGGACCGUGUACAAGUCCCUUGGAACAGGGCGUCAUAGAGGGUGAGAAUCCCGUCCAUGACACGGACUCCCGGUGCUCUGUGAUACACCUUCAAAGAGUCGAGUUGUUUGGGAAUGCAGCUCAAAAUGGGUGGUAAAUUCCAUCUAAAGCUAAAUACAGGCGAGAGACCGAUAGCGAACAAGUACCGUGAGGGAAAGAUGAAAAGAACUUUGGAAAGAGAGUUAAACAGUACGUGAAAUUGUUGAAAGGGAAACGCUUGAAGUCAGUCGCGUCUGCCAGGACUCAGCCUUGCUUCUGCUUGGUGCACUUCUUGGUGGAUGGGCCAGCAUCGAUUUUGAUCGCCGGAGAAGGGCGGGAGGAAUGUGGCAGCUUGCUGUGUUAUAGCCUCCUGUCGUACACGGUGGUUGGGAUCGAGGACUGCAGCACGCCUUUGGUCGGGGUUCGCCCACGCCACGUGCUUAGGAUGCUGGCGUAAUGGCUUUAAACGACCCGUCUUGAAACACGGACCAAGGAGUCUAACAUGCCUGCGAGUGUUUGGGUGUUAAACCCAUGCGCGUAAUGAAAGUGAAAAGUUGGGACUCUUUAGUGAGGCACCGACGCCCGAUCCUGACGUUCUCCGACGGAUUUGAGGCAGAGCAUGUAUGUUGGGACCCGAAAGAUGGUGAACUAUGCCUGAAUAGGGUGAAGCCAGAGGAAACUCUGGUGGAGGCUCGUAGCGAUUCUGACGUGCAAAUCGAUCGUCAAAUUUGGG
rnacentral:rRNA from 1 species